UAGGGAGUCUUCGGCAAGGGAAGGAAGGCUGACCAGCAACGCCGCGUGAGUGAAGAAGGUUUUCGGAUCGUAAAGCUCUGUUGUAAGAGAAGAACGAGUGUGAGAGUGGAAAGUUCACACUGUGACGGUAUCUUACCAGAAAGGGACGGCUAACUACGUGCCAGCAGCCGCGGUAAUACGUAGGUCCCGAGCGUUGUCCGGAUUUAUUGGGCGUAAAGCGAGCGCAGGCGGUUAGAUAAGUCUGAAGUUAAAGGCUGUGGCUUAACCAUAGUAGGCUUUGGAAACUGUUUAACUUGAGUGCAAGAGGGGAGAGUGGAAUUCCAUGUGUAGCGGUGAAAUGCGUAGAUAUAUGGAGGAACACCGGUGGCGAAAGCGGCUCUCUGGCUUGUAACUGACGCUGAGGCUCGAAAGCGUGGGGAGCAAACAGGAUUAGAUACCCUGGUAGUCCACGCUGUAAACGAUGAGUGCUAGGUGUUAGACCCUUUCCGGGGUUUAGUGCCGUAGCUAACGCAUUAAGCACUCCGCCUGGGGAGUACGACCGCAAGGUUG
rnacentral:rRNA from 1 species